GACGAACGCUGGCGGCGUGCUUAACACAUGCAAGUCGAACGAAGUGGCGAACGGGUGAGUAACGCGUAAACAACCUGCCCUUCAGAGGGGGACAACAGUUGGAAACGACUGCUAAUACCGCAUACUGAAGGAGGGGAUUGCGUCUGUGUAGCUAGUUGGGGGGGUAACGGCCCACGAAGGCGAUGAUCAGUAGCCGGGCUGCGAGGAUGAACGGCCAAAUUGGGACUGAGACACGGCCCAGAAGCCUUCGGGAGGCAGCAGUGGGGAAUCUUCCGAAAUGGACGAAAGUCUGACGGAGCAACGCCGCGGUAGUGAUGACGGCCUUCGGGUUGUAAAGCUCUGUUAAUCGGGACGCGGUACCGGAAUAGAAAGCCACGGCUAACUACGUGCCAGCAGCCGCGGUAAUAC
rnacentral:rRNA from 1 species